AUUGAACGCUGGCGGCAGGCCUAACACAUGCAAGUCGAACGAGUGGCGGAAGGGUGAGUAAUGUCUGGGAAACUGCCUGAUGUAGGGGGAUAACUACUGGAAACGGUAGCUAAUACCGCAUACCAUCAGAUGUGCCCCGAUGGGAGUAGCUAGUAGGUGAGGUAACGGCUCACAUAGGCGACGAUCCCUAGCUGGUCUGCGAGGAUGACCAGCCACAUUGGACCUGAGACACGGUCCAGACUCCUACGGGAGGCAGCAGGGGGGAAUAUUGGGCAAGGGGCGAAGUCCUGCUGCAGCAAUGCCGGGUGUAUGAAGCAGGCCUUCGGGUUUUAAAGUACUUUCAGCGGGGCGGCGUUACCCGCAGAGGAAGCACCGGCUAACUCCGUGCCAGCAGCCGCGGUAAUAC
rnacentral:rRNA from 1 species